rnacentral:rRNA from 1 species
AUGGCGACCGCAACGAGGCUGCUCCCGACGCUCCUCAGAACCCUAACCGGCACCCGCCACGCUGGCGCGGCGCGGGGCCUCGCCACGGAGAAGGCAGUCGGUGCUGCGGCCGUCGUUGGAAGCCACACCGCCAAAUGGAUGCAGGACACAAGCAAGAAAUCUCCAAUGGAACUCAUCAAUGAGGUGCCACCAAUCAAGGUUGAAGGGCGAAUUGCCGCAUGUGAAGGGGAUAAAAACCCUGCCCUUGGCCAUCCAAUUGAGUACAUCUGCCUUGAUCUGGAUGCACCUGCUGUGUGCAAAUACUGCGGCCUUCGCUAUGUUCAAGACCACCAUCACUAA